rnacentral:sRNA from 1 species
CACCAAUCCCCUCACUAUUUGCGGUAGUGAGGGGAUUUUUAUUGGUGCGGCUAUAUGUCACCUAUUUUGUAUUGCGUCUACUUAGCCAAUAAGAAAAAAACGCAAUGGCACAGCCACUGAUGACUGGUGCUAUGAUGUGAACGAAAAUAAGCAUCACCUUAUACACCUCCUCUCUGCGUCUAAAUUGACGCCUGAGAGAUAGGCGACUCUACUAUUAUAUCAUC